rfam:Aspergillus clavatus NRRL 1 1099423829795 genomic scaffold, whole genome shotgun sequence.
GGACUGGUACCUCAGUGGUAGAGGGUGAGAUUGCAAAGACAUCGUAAGAUGACUACUGUAAUAUCUUGAGGUCCCGUGUUCGAUCCACGGUCAGUCCU